GUGUCAGCAGCCGCGGUAAUACGAGGGGGGCGAGCGUUGUUCGGAAUUAUUGGGCGUAAAGGGUGCGUAGGCGGUUUUGUAAGUCUUAUGUGAAAUCUAUGGGCUCAACUCAUAGACUGCAUGAGAAACUGCAGGGCUUGAGUAUGGGAGAGGUGAGUGGAAUUCCUGGUGUAGCGGUGAAAUGCGUAGAUAUCAGGAGGAACACCUGUGGCGAAAGCGGCUCACUGGACCAUAACUGACGCUGAUGCACGAAAGCUAGGGGAGCAAACAGGAUUAGAUACCCUGGUAGUCC
rnacentral:rRNA from 1 species